ACUUGCUGUGUGUUUAGCAAACUUCCUUUCACUGAAGAGGCUAAGCUAGAAGGACAAGGGCCUGGGAGACCCUCUUGUCCCUGGUCAGCUGCCCCUGCAAGAAUGCAGCUUUUUUGAUGGCUUAAACACAACCGAGGUCAAGAUUCCUGGGCUUUUCCAGAAAGGAUUAUCCGAGGGAGGAGUGGAUAGCACCUUCAAUCUGCUGGCCCAACAGUGAGAGGAUCCAAGGAAAAAGCAAUGCCUGCCUUUGCCUCUUGCUGGGGUUGGAGAGACGGCUUAGCAGUCUUCCAGAGGACCUGAGUUCAAUUCCCAGCACCUACAUCUGACUGCUCACAAUUGCUUGUAACUCCAGCUGCAGGGAUCUGAUACCUGGGUCUUCCACAGGCACCUAUACUCUUGUGCACAUAACCCCCUAAUUAAAGAAA